rnacentral:rRNA from 1 species
AUAAUGUAGCGUGAAAAGCCAUAGUUAACUAGAGAUUUGACUCGUUCAAAGUUGUAGGAAAUGUUUAUGGAAGGUAUUUUAAGCGUUGAUAAUUAAUAUUUGUUUUCACAAAGUUGGCGAAAAAUUGUAGUCAUCUGCUUCUCGCAGCGGUAAAGUAUUCAUUUUUAAUGUUAGCCUUUUUGUUCAAAACAAGAAAAACAAGUGUUCUCAAAUAGAGCUGGACACGAAUAAAAGCUACCAUGGGGA